GACGAACGCUGGCGGCGUGCCUAAUACAUGCAAGUAGAACGCUGAAGAGAGGAGCUUGCUCUUCUUUGAUGAGUUGCGCACGUGUGAGUAACGCGUAUGUAACCUGCCUUGUAGCGGGGGAUCACUAUUGGAAACGAUAUCUAAUACCGCAUAACAAUGGAUGACACAUGUCAUUUAUUUGAAAUUCGCCAUUUCUCCACUACAAGAUGGACUUUCGUUGUAUUAGCUAGUAGGUGAGGUAACGGCUCACCUAGGCGACGAUACAUAGCCGAACUGAGAGGGUGAUCGGCCACACUGGGACUGAGACACGGCCCAGACGCCUACGGGAGGCAGCAGGAGGGAAUCGUCGGCAAUGGGGGCAAACCUGACCGAGCAACGCCGAGUGAGUGAAGAAGGGUGUCGGAUCGGAAAGCUCUGUUGUAAGUCAAGAACGAGUGUGAGAGUGGAAAGUUCACACUGUGACGGUAGCUGACCAGAAAGGGACGGCUAACUACGUG
rnacentral:rRNA from 1 species